UCAAAUUCCUGCAAGCCACUGAAGAUUGCUAAGCGUCCUCAUUUUGGCAGUACUAAUUCAAGUAUUGUGUUGUUAGAGAUUUCCAAGAGAAUUCUUCCCCAUUAGACAGGAAGAAACAAAAGGCCUCAGUACGAGUGUGACAUACAGAGUGGUUUUCUAGAAGACAGGAACCAGUUCUCCUGCUGUGUCUUAUAGAAAGUCUAGCUCACUGCUGAUACUCAAUGAAUAUUAAAUUAUAAUAAUAAUGCUAUGGAUAUCAUUCAGGUUCUCUGACACGAUUACAACUUUCUACUCUGUUUUUGGUGUGAGAUCCUAUAAUAAAAAUGUUUUAUAGAAGUGAACGCACGUUAUAUACAGUUUGUCAAUCAGCUUAACCAGGUCAUAUUAGGAACGUGUUGGGCUCAAAUAAAGAUGUGUUUUCAAAGUCUAUGUUGGUAUGAUUCAACUGCAGGAGUGUUGGGUUCCUAAUUUAUCAUAAUAAAUUACUCCUCAAAAACAUUUAUUGUCAGACUGCAGUCGUUCUUGGUUCUAGGAAAAAUAAAUCAUUCUUUCCUACAGGAAAACCAAAGUAGGGCAAAAAAGAUUUUUCAAAUAAAAAAGUAAGCUCAAGUCCUACUGCUAGUUAAAAGCAUUCCUGGGAGAUUUUGUUUUAAUCAUUUUUGAAACUAUUCCAUUUAAAAAAGCAUAUAAUUAUUCAAGAAAAAGUUCAAACUCAUUCAUGUAACUCUCACUUUAAAGGAUAUAGUCAAGAGUCCUGAGAUGUUCCACAUGGCAUUUGUGGUAUCUCAGAACUUCCAAAGAAGUCUUUUGGCUUCAUGGAAGUUUGCUUGGAGUUGCCUUAGCUUAUCAACCUAAGGAAUCAUUGGAGCACAAUGAUUCCCCAUUGUCUUUUUACUUGUUUGUUCAUCCAUUCUAUUUCUGAAACUGUACCCAACACUUUCUCUUUGCUUGCUUAACUCUGUUUUCAUCAUCAGCCCUUCAGCUGAGGACUGAAAAACUCUUUUUAAAAA